GAUCACGCCGCGUGAGUGAUGAAGGUUUCGGAUCGUAAAACUCUGUUGUUAGGGAAGACAAGUGCCAUAUACUGAUGGCACCUUGACGGUACCUAACCAGAAAGCCACGGCUAACUACGUGCCAGCAGCCGCGGUAAUACGUAGGUGGCAAGCGUUGUCCGGAAUUAUUGGGCGUAAAGCGCUCGCAGGCGGUUCUUUAAGUCUGAUGUGAAAUCUUACGGCUCAACCGUAAACGUGCAUUGGAAACUGGGGAACUUGAGUGCAGAAGAGGAGAGUGGAAUUCCACGUGUAGCGGUGAAAUGCGUAGAGAUGUGGAGGAACACCAGUGGCGAAGGCGACUCUCUGGUCUGUAACUGACGCUGAGGAGCGAAAGCGUGGGGAGCGAACAGGAUUAGAUACCCUGGUAGUCCACGCCGUAAACGAUGAGUGCUAGGUGUUAGGGGGUUUCCG
rnacentral:rRNA from 1 species